AACGAACGCUGGCGGCNUGCCUAACACAUGCAAGUCGAACGAGAUCUUCGGAUCUAGUGGCGCACGGGUGCGUAACGCGUGGGAAUCUGCCCUUGGGUACGGAAUAACUCAGAGAAAUUUGUGCUAAUACCGUAUAAUGUCUUCGGACCAAAGAUUUAUCGCCCAAGGAUGAGCCCGCGUAGGAUUAGCUAGUUGGUGAGGUAAAAGCUCACCAAGGCGACGAUCCUUAGCUGGUCUGAGAGGAUGAUCAGCCACACUGGGACUGAGACACGGCCCAGACUCCUACGGGAGGCAGCAGUGGGGAAUAUUGGACAAUGGGCGAAAGCCUGAUCCAGCAAUGCCGCGUGAGUGAUGAAGGCCCUAGGGUUGUAAAGCUCUUUUACCCGGGAUGAUAAUGACAGUACCGGGAGAAUAAGCUCCGGCUAACUUCGUG
rnacentral:rRNA from 1 species